UACGUAGGGAGCAAGCGUUGUCCGGAAUCAUUGGGCGUAAAGCGCGCGUAGGCGGCCUCAUAAGUCCGUUGUGAAAGUCAAAGGCUCAACCUUUGAAAGCCGAUGGAUACUGUGAGGCUAGAGUCCGGAAGAGGCGAGUGGAAUUCCUGGUGUAGCGGUGAAAUGCGCAGAUAUCAGGAGGAACACCGAUGGCGAAGGCAGCUCGCUGGGACGGUACUGACGCUGAGGCGCGAAAGCGUGGGGAGCAAACAGG
rnacentral:rRNA from 1 species